GUGGGGAAUUUUGCGCAAUGGGCGCAAGCCUGAUCCAGCAAUGCCGCGUGCAGGAAGAAGGCCUUCGGGUUGUAAACUGCUUUUGUACGGAACGAAACGGUCCUGGCUAAUACCUGGGGCUAAUGACGGUACCGUAAGAAUAAGCACCGGCUAACUACGUGCCAGCAGCCGCGGUAAUACGUAGGGUGCGAGCGUUAAUCGGAAUUACUGGGCGUAAAGCGUGCGCAGGCGGUGCUGUAAGACAGGCGUGAAAUCCCCGGGCUCAACCUGGGAAUUGCGCUUGUGACUGCAGUGCUGGAGUGCGGCAGAGGGGGAUGGAAUUCCGCGUGUAGCAGUGAAAUGCGUAGAUAUGCGGAGGAACACCGAUGGCGAAGGCAAUCCCCUGGGCCUGCACUGACGCUCAUGCACGAAAGCGUGGGGAGCAAACAGGAUUAGAAACCCGAGUAGUCC
rnacentral:rRNA from 1 species